UCAUCUCCGGGGGUAGAGCACUGUUUCGGCAAGGGGGUCAUCCCGACUUACCAACCCGAUGCAAACUGCGAAUACCGGAGAAUGUUAUCACGGGAGACACACGGCGGGUGCUAACGUCCGUCGUGAAGAGGGAAACAACCCAGACCGCCAGCUAAGGUCCCAAAGUCAUGGUUAAGUGGGAAACGAUGUGGGAAGGCCCAGACAGCCAGGAUGUUGGCUUAGAAGCAGCCAUCAUUUAAAGAAAGCGUAAUAGCUCACUGGUCGAGUCGGCCUGCGCGGAAGAUGUAACGGGGCUAAACCAUGCACCGAAGCUGCGGCAGCGACGCUGAUGCGUUGUUGGGUAGGGGAGCGUUCUGUAAGCCUGCGAAGGUGUGCUGUGAGGCAUGCUGGAGGUAUCAGAAGUGCGAAUGCUGACAUAAGUAACGAUAAAGCGGGUGAAAAGCCCGCUCGCCGGAAGACCAAGGGUUCCUGUCCAACGUUAAUCGGGGCAGGGUGAGUCGACCCCUAAGGCGAGGCCGAAAGGCGUAGUCGAUGGGAAACAGGUUAAUAUUCCUGUACUUGGUGUUACUGCGAAGGGGGGACGGAGAAGGCUAUGUUGGCCGGGCGACGGUUGUCCCGGUUUAAGCGUGUAGGCUGGUUUUCCAGGCAAAUCCGGAAAAUCAAGGCUGAGGCGUGAUGACGAGGCACUACGGUGCUGAAGCAACAAAUGCCCUGCUUCCAGGAAAAGCCUCUAAGCAUCAGGUAACAUCAAAUCGUACCCCAAACCGACACAGGUGGUCAGGUAGAGAAUACCAAGGCGCUUGAGAGAACUCGGGUGAAGGAACUAGGCAAAAUGGUGCCGUAACUUCGGGAGAAGGCACGCUGAUAUGUAGGUGAAGUCCCUUGCGGAUGGAGCUGAAAUCAGUCGAAGAUACCAGCUGGCUGCAACUGUUUAUUAAAAACACAGCACUGUGCAAACACGAAAGUGGACGUAUACGGUGUGACGCCUGCCCGGUGCCGGAAGGUUAAUUGAUGGGGUCAGCGCAAGCGAAGCUCUUGAUCGAAGCCCCGGUAAACGGCGGCCGUAACUAUAACGGUCCUAAGGUAGCGAAAUUCCUUGUCGGGUAAGUUCCGACCUGCACGAAUGGCGUAAUGAUGGCCAGGCUGUCUCCACCCGAGACUCAGUGAAAUUGAACUCGCUGUGAAGAUGCAGUGUACCCGCGGCAAGACGGAAAGACCCCGUGAACCUUUACUAUAGCUUGACACUGAACAUUGAGCCUUGAUGUGUAGGAUAGGUGGGAGGCUUUGAAGUGUGGACGCCAGUCUGCAUGGAGCCGACCUUGAAAUACCACCCUUUAAUGUUUGAUGUUCUAACGUGGACCCGUGAUCCGGGUUGCGGACAGUGUCUGGUGGGUAGUUUGACUGGGGCGGUCUCCUCCUAAAGAGUAACGGAGGAGCACGAAGGUUGGCUAAUCCUGGUCGGACAUCAGGAGGUUAGUGCAAUGGCAUAAGCCAGCUUGACUGCGAGCGUGACGGCGCGAGCAGGUGCGAAAGCAGGUCAUAGUGAUCCGGUGGUUCUGAAUGGAAGGGCCAUCGCUCAACGGAUAAAAGGUACUCCGGGGAUAACAGGCUGAUACCGCCCAAGAGUUCAUAUCGACGGCGGUGUUUGGCACCUCGAUGUCGGCUCAUCACAUCCUGGGGCUGAAGUAGGUCCCAAGGGUAUGGCUGUUCGCCAUUUAAAGUGGUACGCGAGCUGGGUUUAGAACGUCGUGAGACAGUUCGGUCCCUAUCUGCCGUGGGCGCUGGAGAACUGAGGGGGGCUGCUCCUAGUACGAGAGGACCGGAGUGGACGCAUCACUGGUGUUCGGGUUGUCAUGCCAAUGGCACUGCCCGGUAGCUAAAUGCGGAAGAGAUAAGUGCUGAAAGCAUCUAAGCACGAAACUUGCCCCGAGAUGAGUUCUCCCUGACUCCUUGAGAGUCCUGAAGGAACGUUGAAGACGACGACGUUGAUAGGCCGGGUGUGUAAGCGCAGCGAUGCGUUGAGCUAACCGGUACUAAUGAACCGUGAGGCUUAACCUU
rnacentral:rRNA from 1 species